AAGAAAACUUUCCUCCAUACGUAACACAUGUCAACUCUCUUUAUAUAAUUGCUUUUUUGUUUCAGUUGAAUAACUGUAUCAUUAAAAGAUUUCCGCUAUCCAACACUUGCACGUUAAACUACGCAUGACUACUUCAAUUUAUGAGUCAAGUUUGUAUUUGUUACUUAAGGUGUAGUCCUAAGAAGUACAAUUUUGAAAACUAGAAUUUCUGAUGAACUGUUUAUAUUACUAAAGGAGAAUUACUAAAUGAAUGGUUUCAAUAACAGAUGAAUGAAACGUGAGAAAAAUCAAAGAUACAGAAACCUAAUUACGAAGCACUUUGAAUUAAACUUGGAG